rnacentral:rRNA from 1 species
UACGAAGGUGGCAAGCGUUGUUCGGAUUUACUGGGCGUACAGGGAGCGUAGGCGGUUGGGUAAGCCCUCCGUGAAAUCUCCAGGCUUAACCUGGAAAGUGCAGAGGGGACUGCUCGGCUAGAGGAUGGGAGAGGAGCGCGGAAUUCCCGGUGUAGCGGUGAAAUGCUUAGAGAUCGGGAGGAAUGCCGGUGGCGAAGGCGGAGGUCUAGAACGUUUCUGACGCUGAGGCUCGAAAGCGUGGGGAGCAAACAGG